AUUGAACGCUGGCGGCAGGCCUAACACAUGCAAGUCGAACGAGCGGCGGACGGGUGAGUAAUGUCUGGGUAUCUGCCCGAUGGAGGGGGAUAACUACUGGAAACGGUAGCUAAUACCGCAUACCAUCAGAUGUGCCCAUAUGGGAUUAGCUAGUAGGUGGGGUAACGGCUCACCAAGGCGACGAUCUCUAGCUGGUCUGAGAGGAUGACCAGCCACACUGGGACUGAGACAAGGUCCAGACUCCUGAGGGAGGAAGCAGUGGGGAAUAUUGCACAAUGGGCGCAAGCCUGAUGCAGCCAUGCCGCGGGUAUGAAGAAGGCCUUAGGGUUGUAAAGUACUUUCAGCGGGGAGGCGUUACCCGCAGAAGAAGCACCGGCUAACUCCGUGCCAGCAGCCGCGGUAAUAC
rnacentral:rRNA from 1 species